ensembl:lncRNA LINC02223 long intergenic non-protein coding RNA 2223
GGGAGGGAGGGAGAGAGAGAAAGAAAGUAUUUGUCUUUCUGGCUUUUAUGAAGUAAGCAACCAUGUUGAGGCAGUCCAUCUGACAAGGUACUGCAGGUGGCUUCUAGAAGCUGUGAGCAGGCUCCAGCUGAUGGCCAGAAAAAAAUGUUGGGGUCUUCAGUCAUACAUCCUUAAGGAAAUGAAUUCUGGCACAAACAUGAGAGAGCUUUGAAGCAGAUUCUGAUCCAGUUGAGUUUCCAGAUGAAAAUGGAGUCUAGACAAAACCUUUAUCUCAGCCUUGUGAGAUUCUGAACAGAGGGCCCAGGUACCAUGUGAAGGCCUGGGCAUAUAACAUGAAACAAGAAAGAUAAGGCCCGUGCUUACAUAGAACUUGGUGAAGAAUCUAGACCAUAACAAGCACACAGAGAAAACGUAUCACAAAUUGUGCUAAAGUUCUGUAAAGGGAUUAAGAUGAAGUGUCACAAGACUGAAUUAGACAGAGUGCCCUUGAAAGAGAAUACUGAGUAUGUUCCUGUGUCACCUUAUUUGCCAAUAGUGCCAAUUUUUAGAAUGGAGGGUGUAGAUCCAUCCUUUGCAACUGGUGAGGACCUCCUCAGUAAGGCACUGAGCCAGGAGUCUAUACAGCCAUGCCAGCAGGGAGCACUGUCUUUCAUUGUCUGAUGUUUAUUGCAAACCUGUUCUUUUCAGCUUUUUGUUGUUUCAGAAAACUUGGAACAUGUACAAUAUGUUAUCCCUUUAAAAAACGCUCAGUUGGCUUAGGUUGCGUGGCAACCAAAUAUUAGGACAAGAUAGGAAAUCUUGGAGUAGCAGAUUUUAUCCAUGAUUCUACCUGCCAGGUCUGCAAGGUACCAGCCUUAAGCCAGCAUAAGGCGUAAAAUGAGUGAGCCUAGACUCUGCCUGCAACAUGUUACUGUACACCUCAUGAAGAACCCUGGAAGUAUGUUUAGAAGUAAAAUAUUUUAAUGCAAUU